rnacentral:rRNA from 1 species
GACGAACGCUGGCGGCGUGCCUAAUACAUGCAAGUAGAACGCUGAAGGAGGAGCUUGCUUCUCUGGAUGAGUUGCGAACGGGUGAGUAACGCGUAGGUAACCUGCCUGGUAGCGGGGGAUAACUAUUGGAAACGAUAGCUAAUACCGCAUAAGAGUAGAUGUUGCAUGACAUUUGCUUAAAAGGUGCAAUUGCAUCACUACCAGAUGGACCUGCGUUGUAUUAGCUAGUUGGUGGGGUAACGGCUCACCAAGGCGACGAUACAUAGCCGACCUGAGAGGGUGAUCGGCCACACUGGGACUGAGACACGGCCCAGACUCCUACGGGAGGCAGCAGUAGGGAAUCUUCGGCAAUGGACGGAAGGCUGACCGAGCAACGCCGCGUGAGUGAAGAAGGUUGUCGGAUCGUAAAGCUCUGUUGUAAGAGAAGAACGAGUGUGAGAGUGGAAAGUUCACACUGUGACGGUAUCUUACCAGAAAGGGACGGCUAACUACGUG